rnacentral:rRNA from 1 species
GAUGAACGCUGGCGGCGUGCCUAAUACAUGCAAGUCGAGCGAACAGACGAGGAGCUUGCUCCUCUGACGUUAGCGGCGGACGGGUGAGUAACACGUGGAUAACCUACCUAUAAGACUGGGAUAACUUCGGGAAACCGGAGCUAAUACCGGAUAAUAUAUUGAACCGCAUGGUUCAAUAGUGAAAGACGGUUUUGCUGUCACUUAUAGAUGGAUCCGCGCCGCAUUAGCUAGUUGGUAAGGUAACGGCUUACCAAGGCAACGAUGCGUAGCCGACCUGAGAGGGUGAUCGGCCACACUGGAACUGAGACACGGUCCAGACUCCUACGGGUGGCAGCAGUAGGGAAUCUUCCGCAAUGGUCGGAAGCUUGGCGGUGCAACGCCGCGUGAGUGAUGAAGGUCUCCGGAUCGUAAAACUCUGUUAUUAGGGAAGAACAAAUGUGUAAGUAACUAUGCACGUCUUGACGGUACCUAAUCAGAAAGCCACGGCUAACUACGUG